rnacentral:rRNA from 1 species
CACGACUACAUUAGAUACCCGGGUAGUCCCAGCCGUAAACUAUGCUCGCUAGGUGUCAGGCAUGGCGCGACCGUGUCUGGUGCCGCAGGGAAGCCGUGAAGCGAGCCACCGUGGGAAGUACGGCCGCAAGGCUAGAAACUUAAAGGAAUUGGCGGGGGAGCACAACAACGGGUGGAGCCUGCGGUUUAAUUGGACUCAACGCCGGACAACUCACCGGGGACGACAGCAAUAUGUAGGCCAGGCUGAAGACCUUGCCUGAAUCGCUG